rnacentral:tRNA from 1 species
CGGGGCUGGCGCGCGCGGGCGGGCGCCGCGUGCAGCGGUCCAGCCCGAAGAACGCCAUCGUGUUGCGGCACAGGAUCUUCUCCUGCACCUCCGG